CACCCAUCCAAAAAUGUGUUUGGGUACAAAAGUGGGGAUAACCCCCUUAUCCCCCCUCUUGUACCCAAUCCAAACACUAGCUCAGGGUCUGGAUCCUUUGUAUAAAAUUUUCGGGUGAAACCUUUGGGAUCCGGAUCUUUCCAUAAAGCCCGAAUCCUAAAAAUUGCUCUAUUACUCGCAUGGUUUCCCCAUCCUUCUUCCGUUUCCUUUCAUCAUCCCUUCCCAUCUCUCUUGUCUUCUCUCUCCCUCUACACUAUCCUCCCUUCCCAUCCACUUCUCUCCUUCCUCUCCCUCUACUCCGUCCUCCCUUCCUGUUGCCUCCUCUGCUUUCUCUCCCUCUACUACGUCGACCCUUCCUAUUCUCUCCCCUCAUCCCUCUCCCUCUACGCCCUCCGACGACGACAAUGACGUUGGCACCGUCGAUGCUACCACCGCUAC
rnacentral:lncRNA from 1 species